GAGUGGGUUUCAGAGAAGCUCUGUCAAUCAGCGCUCAAUCUGUAUGUUCUCCAAGACAUUCCUUAUCCUGGCUGAUUUAUUUCAUAUUAAAAGGGCUGUCAAUCUGUAUCACAGGAACAGGUUGAAAAAACGAACAUGUUGGCACCAUGCUACAGUGAGAACCACAUGUCUGAACAUUCAAAAUCUAAUCCUGUGCCACCGUCAAAGCAGCAGACACUGAUAUGAGAAUGUGUGGGAGCAGCCAGAGCAUCUGGAGAGAAGCUGGUCUGAGCAUGAUGAACAAGGUUAGCCGCCUGAGAAGGUACAAUCAUAAUAAAGCCUGCUGCACAGGGGUGGUUUGGAAACUACAGGCAUGUCUACACAUGAACCUUCACCUGUAAAAAGGUAGGAGGUAUAUUUAAAGCAGAUUAUCUGUUUGCACUGAUGUCCCCGGGCCAGAACUAUGCAAGUCUCUCCCCGUGUUUUGCUGCAGGCAUUAGCCUAAAUACAAACUCCUUUGUAGAUAAUAACAUCCAGGCAAAACAGGAAGCAGCGAUAAAC